AGUGAACGCUGGGUAGGCUAACACAUGAGUCGAACGGCAGCACAGGAGAGCUUGCUCUCUGGGUGGCGAGUGGCGGACGGGUGAGGAAUGCAUCGGAAUUACUCUUUCGUGGGGGAUAACGUAGGGAAACUUACGCUAAUACCGCAUACGACCUACGGGUGAAAGCCGGGGACUUCGGGCCUGGCGCGAAAGAAUGAGCCGAUGCCCGAUAGCUAGUUGGCGGGGUAAGAGCCCCCCAAGGCGACGAUCGGUAGCUGGUCUGAGAGGAUGAUCAGCCACACUGGAACUGAGACACGGUCCAGACUCCUACGGGAGGCAGCAGUGGGGAAUAUUGGACAAUGGGCGCAAGCCUGAUCCAGCCAUACCGCGUGGGUGAAGAAGGCCUUCGGGUUGUAAAGCCCUUUUGUUGGGAAAGAAAAGCAGUCGGUUAAUACCCGAUUGUUCUGACGGUACCCAAAGAAUA
rnacentral:rRNA from 1 species